UAAGAUUUGACGAUACUGUGCAACAAUGCCUGUUGCACGGACGGCGGCGAAGGCAGAAGGCACAAGGCAGUGCCAAGACCAACCCAGAGGCUUCUUCACAGCAGCCACUGCGAAUGACCGAUUCCCCACAACUCGACCAGCCGCCGCCGCCGCCUCCUACCGACCAAAAAAGCGUCGCGCUAGCAGCAGCAAAUGCCUUGCCUAACCUGGUUCCGUUGAAGCCGAAGAUGAUCAUCAAGGGGGUUCUUGGGCGGUACGAGCGGUGGAACCCCGUCCACCCGACGGCCGGCGCGUUCUGGGGCAUGGGGCUCGGCCUCGGUUGCGGAGUCGGCUGGGGCCCCGGGUUCGGCCCCGAGGUGAUUGGGUACGUCGGCGCCGGCUGCGGCGUGGGGUUCAGCGUCGGUGUCACGCUCGCCGGCGUAGGCAUCGGCCUGCCGCAGCACGUCCUCGUUAGGAGCAACGACCAAAGCGGGGGUGAGUGCUGCUCUGUUCUCAUGCCCUCAACUCUUCUUGCUGUAACGCUUUGGGUGAAUUCUUCCAUUGGUGGGAGCUUGGGCUUGUGUUUGUAUAGUGUUAACAUCAUCAUGAAAAAUGAAAUGUCAAGUUGCUAAUAUUAAUUCAUGUAAAAAGAAGCUAGUUGAUAGGAUCAGAUAAAACCUACUCCUUUGAGUAACAUGACAUGACCAGUGAUACCUAAUUAGCUACUACUUGAUACUAUUGUGCCUGCAAAUGUGACAUGCUUGAUUUUUGUCACAUAUAAAAAAUGAAAAGCACAGUGGCAUAGGGAAAGCACAUUGACAUUUCCAAAUGGCCAUGCUGCUGGUAUUGCAGCGAACAUAUAGCAAAGGCAUGCAUCUGAUUCAGCCUUUGAUGCCAACAGUUAUGUAACAUGGGUUUUCCGAGCAAUAUGACCCUUGAAUCGGCAAGGUAUUACACGAUGACUAUCGUCAGAGGUUUGGUCAGGGAUGUCAUUGGUUAUGCAAGCCAGAUUUCUGGAGGUGGUGUUGUGCCCAAGUUGGGGAAAGGUGUGUCAAGUAGCAUCCAGUCAAACAGGAGGAGUUGAUGUACCAAGUUGGGGAAAGGCGUGUCAAGUAGCAUGCAGUCCCGAGUGUGGAGUUGUGUAUCAGGGCCUUCAAAAAUCAGCAUUGGCCUCCAUCCAUAAAAAGACACUUCAAGGUUUAAAGCUGGUUGUUACUUUUAUAGAGUACCCAAGGUAAACUUCAGAAAAUGUGAUAUACUACUACUCUGUAUUCUUUUUGUUACGAGAAUAUAUUUUCUUGACUUAUCAAGGUGAAGUUGUUCCUGCUUGACAAAAUGGUUGCCUGCCACUAGGUAGCCAUUUAUGUAAAUGGGCAUGUAAAUACAACAAUGGUCUAUUGUUGCUCUAUAUCAAAUUACUUUGCUCCAGUAAUCUUCUGUGGAACACUUGUCUAUUCUGCAGAACCGUCGCCUGCACUUGUAAUAGUGUAUUAUGGAA